rnacentral:lncRNA from 1 species
AAGGGUUAAUUGACAUGCCACAUAUUAUCCCUAUACUCUGACCGACCAAUUAAAUAACAAAUAAACUUAGGUAGGUCAUACUAGCGAAGAUAUUACCUGUCUCUCCCCUCCUAGUUCUUGUCUCACAUCUUAGUUAGAGAUCAUAUCCCUAAGCUUUGAUACCAACGGUGACGCCCCCAAAAUAGCUAUACAUCACCCAUUCUGAGUCGCCAAAUACAUGGUACAUAAAUCAAAUACAAACUUCUCUUAUACAAUACGACAAAACGUAGCUGAGAGUUUUUACACGAAUAUUAUCUCAUAGAAAAUAUCCAAACUCAAAUUCAAUCUUCAUUACAUUUAUUAUCACACUAACUAGCGAGGACUGCUAAAAAAACCAUCUCGGACCGUCACUCCAUUCCCCGACUAGUCCUAGCUACGUUGUAAGACCCCAACUUUUAUGAAUAAAGAUGAAUUUUCUAUAAAUAUCAUUUUUGAAUAUUAAGGAGUGUUUAAUAUAAUGUUAUAGUUGUGGGUAAUAUUUAUAAAAUUUGCAAAGUAUGCAAGUUGUUAUAUUAUAUUCGAUUGGUCGGGGAAUAUUUGUUUUAACAGGGAAUAUUCGUACGACGUCGCAAUCAUUGGUGGACCCCACAACGUAAUUAUUGUCGGAAUGAGAAAACGACAGAAAUAUCUUUUUAUGAAAAUAACGGCGAAAGUUUUACCAUUAACUGUUGAAAUACCCGGUGAUAAAAG